UCCGCUCAGAGCGAACGCUGGCGGCAGGCUUAACACAUGCAAGUCGAACGCAUCCUUCGGGAUGAGUGGCAGACGGGUGAGUAACACGUGGGAACGUGCCCUCCGGUCUGGGAUAACCCUGGGAAACUAGGGCUAAUACCGGAUACGUGCUUUGGCAGAAAGGUUUACUGCCGGAGGAUCGGCCCGCGUCUGAUUAGCUAGUUGGUGGGGUAACGGCCUACCAAGGCGACGAUCAGUAGCUGGUCUGAGAGGAUGAUCAGCCACACUGGGACUGAGACACGGCCCAGACUCCUACGGGAGGCAGCAGUGGGGAAUAUUGGACAAUGGGCGCAAGCCUGAUCCAGCCAUGCCGCGUGAGUGAUGACGGCCUUAGGGUUGUAAAGCUCUUUUCUCCGGGACGAUAAUGACGGUACCGGAGGAAUAAGCCCCGGCUAACUUCGUGCCAGCAGCCGCGGUAAUACGAAGGGGGCUAGCGUUGCUCGGAAUCACUGGGCGUAAAGGGCGCGUAGGCGGCGUUUUAAGUCGGGGGUGAAAGCCUGUGGCUCAACCACAGAAUGGCCUUCGAUACUGGGACGCUUGAGUCUGGUAGAGGUUGGUGGAACUGCGAGUGUAGAGGUGAAAUUCGUAGAUAUUCGCAAGAACACCCGGUGGCGAAGGCGGCCAACUGGACCAGUACUACGUUAGGCGCA
rnacentral:rRNA from 1 species